rfam:Agrobacterium tumefaciens str. C58 circular chromosome, complete sequence.
GCGCGAGGACGACCUCGGCCAAAUCGGCGACAGCAUGCGGGACGGCCCGG